UUUAAGUAUAGUUGCAGGUUUCCGUGUCUAUCUUUUAAUUAUCCGUCUUAUUUGAAAUUUUCUUAUAAUUAGUAUUUUUAUUGUUAUUGAAUAGUACAUUGAUUUAUUUUUUAAAAUUUUUUAUAAGUUUUUAAAUAAUAUAUAUGCUCAAACGUUCGAUACGAAAACUCAGAACUGCACUUAUU
rnacentral:pre_miRNA from 1 species